rnacentral:rRNA from 13 species
UGCACGAAUGGCGUAACGAUGGCCACACUGUCUCCUCCCGAGACUCAGCGAAGUUGAAAUGUUUGUGAUGAUGCAAUCUCCCCGCGGAAAGACGGAAAGACCCCAUGAACCUUUACUGUAGCUUUGUAUUGGACUUUGAACGGAUCUGUGUAGGAUAGGUGGGAGGCUUUGAAGUGGGGACGCCAGUUCUCAUGGAGCCAUCCUUGAAAUACCACCCUGGUUUGUUUGCGGUUCUAACCUUGGUCCGUUAUCCGGAUCGGGGACAGUGCAUGGUAGGCAGUUUGACUGGGGCGGUCUCCUCCUAAAGUGUAACGGAGGAGUUCGAAGGUACGCUAGGUACGGUCGGACAUCGUGACGAUAGUGCAAUGGCAUAAGCGUGCUUAACUGCGAGACU